rnacentral:lncRNA from 1 species
CAAUAUUCUAGGAGACUCCAGGGUUUGUCCUAUUUAUUUAAAAUUUGAUGCAAAGUUCAUUUUUUAAAAGGUGGUCAGAUACCAGUGAAACAUAUUUGUCCCAAAACCAUAAAAUGGCUUAGCCAAACAUUGGAUUUAACAAUAAAUGUUGAACAUUAAUGCCUUGGGAAGGCUCUAACUUAAGGUCCUGAGAAUUCUGCCUCUUAUCUAUCCUUAAGUCUUCCUUUCUUAAAACUCAAAAAAUUUCCCUCUGUGGUAAACUACUCCACACACUUCUUGCCCAUUUGCUGCUCUGCAUGAGUCACCCAAGUCCCUUUCAUUUAAUUGAAAUGAAAGACACCAUAUGAGUCAUAUAAUAAUAAGAGCUGCACAAGAAACAAGUGCCAGAGAAUGCAAAGUCACAGGUGACUUUCAGAACUGGCAGAAGCCACCAGACUUCCUAGCAACCCAUAAACUGCAGGCCAGCGCAGGCCUGCCCCUGAGAACACCAUACAGUAACUCCUGGGAGUAUGUUCUGAAGGUUGUAGCAAGUGUGUGUUUCCCUGAGAUAGUUGCUGAUUAGGCCUAUUCAGGCAUAUCCUGUUCACUGCAUCCAGAAAUAAAAUUACAGAAAAGUAUAAGUCCCCAAAGUGAGUAAUUAACAGACU